rnacentral:rRNA from 1 species
AUUGAACGCUGGCGGCAUGCCUUACACAUGCAAGUCGAACGGCAGCACGGGGGCAACCCUGGUGGCGAGUGGCGAACGGGUGAGUAAUGCAUCGGAACGUGCCCAGUAGUGGGGGACAACCAGUCGAAAGAUUGGCUAAUACCGCAUACGACCUAUGGGUGAAAGCGGGGGACCGUAAGGCCUCGCGCUAUUGGAGCGGCCGAUGUCUGAUUAGCUAGUUGGUGAGGUAAAAGCUCACCAAGGCGACGAUCAGUAGCUGGUCUGAGAGGACGACCAGCCACACUGGGACUGAGACACGGCCCAGACUCCUACGGGAGGCAGCAGUGGGGAAUUUCGGACAAUGGGCGCAAGCCUGAUCCAGCCAUGCCGCGUGCGGGAAGAAGGCCUUCGGGUUGUAAACCGCUUUUGGCAGGAACAAAACGGCGACUCUUAAUACGGGUCGUUAAUGACGGUACCUGCAGAAUAAGCACCGGCUAACUACGUGCCAGCCGCCGCCGUAAGAC